CCCCCACCCCAGGCCGCCUCAGAGGACGCGUGUCGGGCCGCUGUCGUCUCACCCAUGUCAUAGCCCCUCCCCCAGCCCGGGCUCCCCGGCCUCCGGCCCCAUUAUCCCGCGGCCCCGGCCAGUCCCUCUCCUCGCCCCUCCGUCUCCCUGGGCGGCGAGUGCCUCGGCGCCCCAGCAGAAGACACUCGUCAGCGCGUUCUCACCCUGUCAUCUCCUCUCUCCGCCUAGCUCGCCCCCGGCCGAGGGACCCCGGCCCCCUGCAGCGCAUUGUCUGCGGGCCCAGCCCCGCGCUGACCGCCGGCUUGGCCCUGCCUACCCCCGCCCCGCACCUCGGCGCGUCUCCCUCGGCAACGCGCGGCGCCCCGGGAUGCAGCCCGCAGGCCGGGCGGCCGUCAGGGAGGCGGCAGGCCGUGACGUGCUGGCCGCCGACCUGCGCUGCAGCUUCUUCGCCUCGGCCCUGCGGAGCUACAAGCGCGACUCCGUCCUGCGGCCCUUCCCCGCGUCCUAUGCCCGCCACGACUGCAAGGACUUCGAGGCCCUGCUUGCAGAUGCCAGCAAGUUACCUAACCUGAAAGAACUUCUCCAGUCUUCAGGAGAAAAAGACCCGUGGGCCUGGGACCUGAUGAGCUGGAUUUUAUCCUCAAAGGUCCUGACAAUCCACAGUGCAGGGAAGUCAGAGUUUGAAAAGAUCCAAAAGCUGACUGGUACCCCUCACACACCUGUCCCCGUGCCGGACUUCCUAUUUGAAGUCGAGUACUCCGACCCAGCCAACGCCAAAUUUUAUGAGACCAAAGGAGAACGCGACCUCAUCUACGCCUUCCACGGGAGCCGCCUAGAAAACUUCCAUUCCAUCAUCCACAAUGGCCUGCACUGCCACCUGAACAAGACAUCCUUGUUUGGGGAAGGGACCUACCUCACCAGUGACCUGAGCCUGGCCCUCAUUUAUAGCCCCCAUGGCCACGGGUGGCAGCACAGUCUCCUUGGCCCCAUCCUUAGCUGCGUGGCCGUGUGCGAGGUCAUUGACCAUCCAGAUGUCAAGUGCCAAACGAAGAAGAAGGAUUCCAAGGAGAUAGAUCGCAGGAGAGCGAGAAUCAAGCACAGUGAAGGGGGUGACGUCCCUCCAAAGUACUUUGUGGUCACCAAUAACCAGCUCUUGCGCGUGAAGUACCUGCUGGUGUAUUCGCAGAAGCAGCCCAACAGCAGGGCUUCCAGCCAGCUCUCCUGGGUCUCCAGCCACUGGUUUACGGUCAUGAUCACCCUGUAUCUGCUGCUGCUGCUCACAGAGAAGAAAGAGGCUUGGAGAGGUGACUGCCCAAGGUGAAAAAGCCCGAAAGAGGCAGAGCCAAAGCUGACUCUAGAGCUGAAAUAUAAGACAGGGGCUGCCAGCGGCCAAAUCCCCCUGAUUGUCUGAGAUGUUCUCGGCAUCAGAGAAUAAACAGUCUCCCCUGUCCAGCCAGCUGUGCUGAGCAGCAUUCCUGUCUCCCAGCCUGCUUGGCCGGGUGGGGCUGCACCCCUGCGUCCACCUCCAGCAGAGGCCUGGGGGGCCUGAAUCCUGACCUUACAGGGGACUCACCAGUCACACAGCCCUACCCCACAGAGCAACCGGCCCGCUCAAAGCCCACUUGACUCACCGCAGGCUGACUGAGAAACGCUGACUGGCCAGCUCACAGAAGACUCACUGCCUGCUUGAUGCGCAGCCUAACUGCCCAAUAAAUCUACGUAUUCGACAAACAGUAAUUGAGCACCUUUCUUGUACCCACUGUUAUGCUGGGUGCAGGGGAUACAGUAGUGAACAAGACAGACAAGAUUCCUACUCUUAGGGAGCUGACAGCAAAUAAAACAAUGACAGAGUGAUGUGUGUGUGUGUGUGUGCAUUUUUGUUUGUUUUUAAUUUUUAAAAUUUUAAAAAGAAAUUUUUGGCCAUACCAUGCAGCAUGUGGGAUCUUAGUUCCCCAACCAGGGAUUGAACCUGCGCCCCCUACAUUUAAAGUGCAGAGUCUUAACCAGUGGACCACUAGGGAAGUCCCAAGGGUGUGAUAUAUGUAUGUAUUAUGAAGAAAAUAAACAGGAUUCUAUAGGAGAGAGUAGCCAUCAGGCCCUACCCUGGAUAUAAUGGUCAGGGAAGACCUCCCAGAUGCAUAAUCUGAGAAUUGAGGAAUGAGAAUGAGGGGGAAAAGAAGGAAACAUUCAGCGAGCCCGUGGAAGAACUUUCCAGAUAGAGUGAAAGCAAUGCUAAGGCCUUGAGACAGGGAAGAGCUUGGUGUCACCCUGGAAUAAUAAGACUGAUUUGACGGAACGUGGUGAGUGAGCAGAGGGUGGCGUGAAGCUAAGGUUGCAGAGGAGGCCAGAGCAGACCAGACAGGCCUUGUAAGCCACAGGAAGGAGUUAGGUAGGUGUGAGGGGAAGGCCUGAGGACUUCAAGCGAAAGUGUGACACAUACUCAAGAAGAAAUACAUAGGGACUUCCCUGGUGGUUCAGUGGUUAGGACUCCAUGCUUCCAAUGUAGGGGCAUGGGUUGGGGAACUAAGAUCCUGCCUGCCACAUGGCCAAUUAAUAGAUAAAUAGCACCUAAUGCUGGCUCUGAGGUAGAAAAGAAAAAAACAGAUAGCCUGGAUAACACUCUAUCCACUAAAGAAAUUGAAUUUGUAGUUUAAAAUAUUCCCGCAAAGAAAACUUCAGAUCUGGAUGCCUUUACUGGUGAAUUCUCCCAAACAUAAGGAAAAAUUACCAAUUUUUAUAAAAUCCUUCAGAAAAUUGAAAAGGAAGGAAUAGUUCUUAACUAAUUCAGAGACUAGCAUUACUCUGAUACCAAAACCAGACAUGAUCAUAAAUGCAAAAACUUAAUAAAAAUUCUAGCAAAGUAAACCCAGCAAUGUAUAAAAGAAAAUUCAUCGUGACCAAGGGGGGUAAACCCAGAAAUGCCAGCUUGAAUAAACAUUUGAAAAUCAAUUCAUAUAAUUCACCAUAUUAGCAAACUGAAAAAGGGAAAAACAAACAACUUUACCUCAAUAGAUGUAAGAAAAGGAUUUGACAAAAUUCAACACUUAUGUUUGAUAAAAAACCCUCAGCAAAGUAGGAAAAGAAGGGAAGUCCCUCAAUGUGGAAUCUAUGAAAAACUAAAGACUAACAUAUAAUAGUUAAUGGUUAAAGACUGAGUACUUUCCUUCAUGAGACAAGAGUGUCUGUUCUUAUUACUUCUGUUUAACAUUGUACCAGAGGUCCUAGCCAGUGCAAUAUAGCAAGAAAAAUUAAUAAAAGGAGAAUAACAACUGAGUCAAAUGGUGUGUUUCAUUUGUAAGAAAGUACCAUAAUGUUACUGAAAGUUUUUACACAAUUUUACAUUCCUAUCAGUAGGAGAAUUAUAGUGUGUUUUAUAUAGCUGAUGCCAUAUGCUCUCCAACACUUGGUAAGGUCAGUCUUUUAAUUUUAGCUUUCCUAAAAGUGGAUGUGUAGUGGUAUCUCUGUAUUUUAAUUUAUAGUUCCCUAAUAACCAAGGAGCACUUUUCAUGUUCUUAUUUGCUGCUUGUGUACCUUCUCUGGAGAA